UGGGGAAUAUUGCACAAUGGAGGGAACUCUGAUGCAGCGACGCCGCGUGAGUGAUGAAGGAUUUCGUUUCGUAAAACUCUGUUCUAUGGGAAGAAAAGGACUGUACCAUAGGAGAAAGCUCCGGCUAAAUACGUGCCAGCAGCCGCGGUAAUACGUAUGGAGCGAGCGUUGUCCGGAAUUAUUGGGCGUAAAGGGUGCGCAGGCGGCUUUACAAGUUGGAUGUGAAAUAUUUUGGCUCAACCACAAACGUGCAUCCAAAACUGCAAAGCUUGAGUUAAGGAGAGGUAAGUGGAAUUCCAAGUGUAGCGGUGGAAUGCGUAGAUAUCAGGAGGAAUACCGGUGGCGAAGGCGACUUACUGGACUUAAACUGACGCUCAGGCACGAAAGCGUGGGGAGCAAACAGG
rnacentral:rRNA from 1 species